rnacentral:lncRNA from 1 species
GCCCGCGCCGCCACCUCGCCGGCCUCUAGCCGCCUCGCCGCCGCCGGAGCCAGCCGCCGGAAACCGCGCGGCCGGCCGGGAAGGCGGCGGCGGGGAGAACAUCCUCGGGGAGCCCUUCCUCGGCGUUGGAGGCGGAGCAGCGUCGACGGGGCGGUGGUCGACGGAGGCGGCGGUCGAUGGAGGUGGCUGCGACGGAUCCGGGCACGCCGGAGACGGAUCCGACCCCCCCGGGCACGGAUGUGGCCGAUGACGGUGCUCUGCGUCCGGCUGCCAGUGGAGGCGGGCAGCGCGUCGGCUGCGGCCGGCGAGCGGAGGUGGUGGCAGCUCGCGGCGACGGCGGCCGACGGAGGCGCGCGGAGGUGGCUUCCGCUGUGCAGCGGCGGAGCUCGUGCGGAGGUGGCUAGCCGGCGACGGCGGAGGCUGGCGGCUGUGGAGGCCAGCACCGUGGUGGAGGCGCUGCGGCGGCCGGCAGCACGCGAGGCCGGACAAAGGUGGCGCCAGAGCCGGAGCGGCAGCGUUUCCGGCGUCGGCGCAGGCCUAGAUGGUAGUGCAAAGGGAGCUGGCGGCAGUGGGUCGUCUUCCUCGUUGCCGGUCGGCACCCUCGCCCUUCUUGGAGCUCCUCCCCUUCUUUGUGGGGAGUUUCUAGGCGGCAGCUUGUCAACGGGGGAAGCCCAGGUUGCUGAAGCAAUGCCACCCAGUCCAGGGUUCUCCUUUGGCCAGAUUUGGCGAGGAGACUGGCGGGUGGUGGAUCGGAAGGGUCCUGGGCCAGUUCUCAGGGAUGGAGGUUCGUUGAAGUCAGUCGAUGGCGGGGCGUCGGUGCUGUGUGGUGGCAAUCCUGUCGUUGGCAGGAUUGGAAGCUGGCCGGCGGAGGGGCGUUGGUCAAGUGUGGCGGAAGCCAUGUGCCGCCGAUGUUUAGAUGGUGGUUUCGGAUUGGGCGACGGACCACGGCGGCGUGGUAACCCUCCUGAGGGCACUGUUGAGGUACCCAUCCUCCCUCGGCAAGGAGCUCUAGGUGAAAACCUUGUCCAAUUCCUUGGACGGAUGACGACGGCGUCUUUCGGCGUCGCAACCCUCGUGAGGGCGUCGUUUUAG